CCCCAGAAGAUGGCGAGUCCGUGCGGGCGGCAGGAGUGCUCCAUCGAGAGGCGCGGCUUCCGCCACCAGCUCGACUCGUGGCGACACCGGCUGCUGCGCUGUGUGGAUCCAGUUUCUGAUCCUACUUCCACAUUUGGGAGUAUGCAGGGGACAAACACGCCUCUUUGCGUAGCUUGACUGGAUUCCCCAAGACUAGGAUGAUUUGAAAGUAUUCUAGAAGGGCUGUUUGGACCUGAAUUAUUAAAAGAGCUCAGUUUGUUUAAAGACUUUGAGCCUGAAGGUGUCUCUGAUUGGUCUUUUGAUGAAAAUUGUCUUUUCUGCUGUUUG